rnacentral:piRNA from 1 species
UUCNGCACAGGGAUACUCAAGAUCUACAUA